UACGUAUGGUGCAAGCGUUAUCCGGAUUUACUGGGUGUAAAGGGAGCGCAGGCGGCGCGGCAAGUCCGAUGUGAAAACCCCCGGCUCAACCGGGGGACUGCAUUGGAAACUACCGGGCUGGAGUGCCGGAGAGGUAGGCGGAAUUCCUGGUGUGGCGGUGAAAUGCGUAGAUAUCAGGAGGAACACCAGUGGCGAAGGCGGCCUACUGGACGGUGACUGACGCUGAGGCUCGAAAGCGUGGGGAGCAAACAGG
rnacentral:rRNA from 1 species